GGAGGGGUGGCCGAGUGGACGAAGGCGCGCGACUCGAAAUCGCGUAGCGGCGGUGACCCCGUCGCUCGUGGGUUCGAAUCCCACCCCCUCCGCCA
rnacentral:tRNA from 1 species